rnacentral:lncRNA from 1 species
CCCUUUUAGAAGCUAUACAUAAAUGGUGGUUUCCCUUCUGUACUGCCACAGAACUUAUACAUACAUUCUCAGUCCUACCUGUGAAAGGCCUAAAGAGAAAGAAACUCAAUUUGCAGUCCAACACAAAGGGGAGAAUUUCUAAAAUAAAUAAUCCAACAGUUUUUUGCAUUUUUUUAAAUUAAUUUUUCAUUUUUUUAAAAUAAAAUAACCAAAAAAAGUGUAAAGUUACAAAAAUGUUGUUGAAGAAUAAUAUAUUAAAACUGUGGAAAAAAGGAAAGACACGUCACAAAAUUUUAAGAUUAAUAUGAAGAUCAUAAUUUAACAUAAAAGAAUAUAUUCUAUGGAUUUGUCAUCCCGAUAAAUAUGAACAAAAUUAACAAAAAAAAGCAUAGUUUGGCAAUAAAUACGUUUUGAUAAGUUAAAUAAGCUUUUUUAUAUUGAUGUGCAGUGAUAAGCAACAUUUUUGCUCUCCAAUUUCUGAAAGUUAGAUGAAGUUUAAACCCAGGGAAAAAAGCAUUGUGUGGGGGCUCUAAGGUAGACCUAAGGUAUUCUAGAGCAAAAUCCAUUAAACCUACUUCUACAGGAAAUCGUUUUACACAGAUAUUGUAUGUGGAAUGAAUACCAUUAACUGCUCACCCCUUACAUGUUUUUUUUUUGUUUUUUUGUUUUUUAGCUUUUCUCUCAUUUGUUGUCAUUUUAAAGAUGUCACAUAUGAAUUGGGGAACUUUAGCACCAAAAUCAAGUCUCUCAUAGUCCAUCUAGUUUCCCCUUCCUCCCCACUUAAAAAAAAAAAAGAAAGAAAGAAAAAGAAAAAGAAAUUAAAUCACAAAGUCCCACUUAUGUCAAAACCUUCGUCCAACUUGUUCAACCUUUGUCCCUGGAGACCUACACAAACCCAGGCAAGAUUAGUCAACAGGGGUUCGGGCUGGGAAGAAAAAGGUUUUGAAAGUCAAAAUAGACCCCCCCAAAAAAAGAACCCCAAGUCCAGCAACAACUCUCUGAGGGAGGUGAGUAACUCUAAGGACGAGGAAGAGUGUGUGGGAGACCGAAAGGAAGGUGCACUUGUGUGGCCAGCUGGGGGAGCUGCUGGUUGCGGGUCACCCCACCCCCACCCCCAACCCCACGGGCAGAGGCUCUGGGAGGCCCACGGGUGCCCCCUGGCGUUGAAGAGGUAAUGUAGUCACAGUGACAAAGUUAGAUUACAAGGCACUAAGUUGCUUCUGUAAACGGUUACUGCUUUUUUUCUUUUGUGAUUUGGCACUUAAGGCUUAAGCCGGGGGGGGGGGGGGGGAAGGCAUCUACUGACAAAAGAUGGGACUCUGUUAUGCGUGGUUAAGUGGGCUAUGAAAUGGAGGGAGGGUUUCAAGCCAGAAGCUACCGACAAAUUGACUUGUCCUUAUGUGGGGGGAGGGUAACAUACCAAGGUCUGGGAAAGGGGUUGAGCUUAAAUGUAUCAAUGUGGGGUUUGAGGGAAAGUUAGGGGGUGGGGAGGACAUAAGCAAAUUCCUUCACCAUGGAGGGAAACGCAAGCAAUGAAAGUCCUUCGCUCCCUCUACGCCGUCCCCGAGACCCAAACUUUUUAGAGCUUCUUGAAGCACAAGAGAAACUUUCAAAAAGUCAACGCUCCGCCCUGCUUUACCUUGCAUAAAACUUCGCUCAAGUCGAAAAUGGUGGCGGACACGAGGGUGGUGGUCAUCGUGGGCGUUCGCACGGGGCAAGGACUAGGAUCUGGUGUGUCGUGAAGGUCCCGGUGCGGGGAAGGCGCAGCCUCCGGCUCUCCGGUCAGGAGUCCCACACGCCUGCUCCCGGCGCCCCUCGCCU